rnacentral:tRNA from 1 species
GGCUUUAUUUUAAUUGUUUUGAAAACAAUUUUUAAGAAUUUUCUUUAAAGUGU